rnacentral:rRNA from 1 species
UACGGAGGGUGCGAGCGUUGUCCGGAAUCACUGGGCGUAAAGGGCGCGUAGGUGGCUACUCAAGCGCGCGGUGAAAGCCCGGGGCUCAACCCCGGAACUGCCUUUAAGACUGCAUCGCUUGAAUCCGGGAGAGGUGAGUGGAAUUCCGAGUGUAGAGGUGAAAUUCGUAGAUAUUCGGAAGAACACCAGUGGCGAAGGCGGCUCACUGGACCGGUAUUGACGCUGAGGCACGAAGGUCAGGGGAGCAAACGGG